GACGAACGCUGGCGGCGUGCUUAACACAUGCAAGUCGAACGGUGAAGCGCCUUCCUUUUUGGUGGGUGUGGAUGAGUGGCGAACGGUUGAGUAACACGUAAGUAACCUUCCCCCUUCUUCUGGAUAACCGCAUGAAAGUGUGGCUAAUACAGGAUAUUCUGGGUCUGUGGCAUGAUGGGUCUGGUAAAGAUGUUGUUGCGGGGGGGGAUGGGCUCGCGGCCUAUCAGCGUGUUGGUGGGGUGAUGGGCUUCGAAGGGGGUGGCGGGUGGCCGGCCUGCGCGGGUGGACGGUCAGAGAGGGAGAGAGACCACGUCGGGACUGCGACGGGAGGCAGACGCGGGGAAUAGUGAACAGUGGGGGAUAGUGUGAUGCAGCGACGCGGCGUGUGCGAUGAAGCCGUGCGGGUUGUGAACGUCUUUCGCUAGUGAAGCAGGUCUGCCUCGUUUGUGGGUGGGUUGACGGUAGCUGGAUAAGAAGCGCCGGCUAACUACGUG
rnacentral:rRNA from 1 species